CCUACGGGAGGCAACAGUAGGGAAUAUUGCUCAAUGGGGGAAACCCUGAAGCAGCAACGCCGCGUGGAGGAUGAAGGUUUUCGGAUUGUAAACUCCUUUUGUUAGAGAAGAUAAUGACGGUAUCUAACGAAUAAGCACCGGCUAACUCCGUGCCAGCAGCCGCGGUAAUACGGAGGGUGCAAGCGUUACUCGGAAUCACUGGGCGUAAAGCGCGCGUAGGCGGGAUAGCAAGUCAGAUGUGAAAUCCUAUGGCUUAACCAUAGAACUGCAUUUGAAACUGUUAUUCUAGAGUAUGGGAGAGGUAGGUGGAAUUCUUGGUGUAGGGGUAAAAUCCGUAGAGAUCAAGAGGAAUACUCAUUGCGAAGGCGACCUGCUAGAACAUAACUGACGCUGAUGUGCGAAAGCGUGGGGAGCAAACAGGAUUAGAUACCCUUGUAGUC
rnacentral:rRNA from 1 species